ACCCUUCCUGAUUCCUUACCUCUCAGAUCUCAACAUUGCUCCGAGUGGCUAUAAAAGAAGGGAAAGUAAGACUGAAAUGGACUCGGGUUCUUUUGUGAUGUACAAGAUCAUUUCAAGCAAAC
rnacentral:snoRNA from 1 species